rnacentral:misc_RNA from 1 species
GACGAACCGUACAAACGUUAUUCGGAAUCACUGGGCUUAAAGGGUGCGUAGGCGGCAAGGAAAGUUGGGUGUGAAAUCCCUCGACUCAACCGAGGAAUAGCGCCCAAAACUGCCUUGCUCGAGGGAGACAGAGGUGAGCGGAACUACGGGUGGAGCGGUGAAAUGCGUUGAUAUCCGUAGGAACACCGGUGGCGAAAGCGGCUCACUGGGUCUCUUCUGACGCUGAGGCACGAAAGCUAGGGUAGCGAACGGG